UGUGUGUGUGUGUGUGUGUGUGUGUGUGUGACUGACAGUGGUGGGAUGCCGGCCACACUGUGGAGGGACCAAUGGCUGGGUUUGGUGGACGUGGCCUGUGAGAGAAAGAGGGAAGAUGAGAUUUGGGCCUGAGCACCUGACAGUGUGCCGCUGCCAUCACCUUACUGACCUCCCCGUCACUGCAGGGAAGAAGAGCUAUUUGAGAGCUCUGCUCACCCGCACCAGGCGGCCCAUCCAGGCUGCCUGAGUGAAGCAGGGCAUGGGCUCCAGGAGGAAGUAGUUUUAAAAAGAGUGGGCAAGGCCUUCAUCCCUCUUUCUCCUUCUGCUGGCAGGAAUGUACACAUGAUGGCUGGAGCUGGAGCAGUCACCAUGGACCAUGAGGUCUCUGUGGGGUGAGGAGGUCCAGCACCCUCCACUGAAGGCUGCCGGUUAUGAGUCACUCUGUGGACAGAACUGGAGCCAGCCUUCCCAGGAAGGGGUGAGGCCGGCUGAGGAAACAGACCCAGACAGCAGAGGAGAGCUUUGCCCGCUGUCCGCACGCCUCAGUCUGUCUCUCCUCUGUACAUGCAAACUGGCAACCAAGGAAAACAGUCGCCGCGAGAGAAGGACCUGGAUGAACCAAGUAACAGCUGUCCUGGGAAGAUAGAGAUAAUAAAGGCAAUGAGCAGAACUUAAAAAUCAUAA